rnacentral:lncRNA from 1 species
CUUAGUUUACAUGCAUAAAUAACGAAAGCAUCCCCAGAUCUACCAAAACCAGAUCACCAACAUUCAAACAAUCAUAAAGAUCAGCUAACUGAACCAUAUAAACUAUCUAAGCUAUAUCAACAGGACAGUAAGGGUAGAAACUAAACCGAAUAACCUGAGUCGGAAGCUCUAGCGACCACUACGAACGUGUCUCACGUCUCGUCUCAACUCUCACCGCCGGCGAUACCUGAAAAAUAGUGGGGGAGGUGAGAACAUGUAAACAUGUCUCCCCUCCCAGUGGGUACCGCAAGCCGAUGAAGGCGAGGAGUACUCACCGGAUCAGGAAGAGCUAAACAACAGUACGGGUCAGUAGAAAUACAGUAGCAAUAAUAGUGAAUGAAAGAGACAUAUAUACGAAAGAAGUACAACUACCGCUACUGUAAUGGACAACUGAAUGUAUACAUGUAACAAGACUAUGUAAUGAAAGAACUGAAGGUAUACAAGCAACAACCGCUACUAUAGUUAUAUGCAUCAACCGGACAAGAAGUCCAAAUAUACCCAAUCUAGUACCUGCUAUAUUGGUCCGCAGACCUCAAGCGCUGCCUGUCACUAACCUGCACCGACCUGAUUCACCCGCCCCACAGGACGACCCAUCCGGAUAAGUACACCUCCGAUCGGUGGCCAAACCGAUCCGGUGUCGUGAAUACCCCCAAGUGCUGUGACUAAGUCAUGAUGGUAUGCUCAAUACAAAAACCGGCUGAAACCGGUGCCUAGGCCGAAGCCAGAAACAAGGACGUACAACGCCGAACCUCGAUCAACCAGAUCGAAACACAUGACGAGAGAGUCAAUGUGUUACCUGGACCCAAGGUCCACAGAGUCCAACCGACCAGCAAGGUCACUGAUACGAAGUACGAGAACUGACCAACCAGGUCAACAGAUACGGAAUGCACAACCAACCAACUAGGUCAACAGAUACUGAAUGCAACAACAGACCAACUAGGUCAACAGAUACUGAAUGCAACAACAGACCAACUAGGUCAACAGAUACAGAAUGCAACAACAGACCAACUAGGUCAACAGAUACAGAAUGCAACAACAGACCAACUAGGUCAACAGAUACGCAUGUAGAUAGAACUACUCUACUCCUACUCAGGAUACUAAGCAUGCAAACAACGAGUAGAGUAUAACGAAUAAACAAGGGUGCAAGGCUCAAUAUACUAUGCGAUAGUAACAACAGAAGAGUAAGGGUAAGAAACCAUCACCAAGCGUGCACCACUGUACCGACGUCGGAUCGAAGUACCCACCUGUAAGGAUGUCGCGUCUGUCUCCUGACUGCAAAAGAAUGUCGACAGGACCUAUAGAGGGUCCACCGGGUUAGUAUCUAACCCACAACUAAUAAUCACAGUAUCCACAACCCCACAAACGAUUCCACGAAGAUCGGUUUCCCAAUACCGAUUACCGUAACUCGCCGGAAGUCCCGAAAACCACACCGGGACGCCGUCGGGACCCACUAAGUGUCCCGAAACUCACCGACUCGUGUCACGAGUCACCUGCUGCCCCAAAACACUCCAAUUUGGAUGUUUUGGCAGCAAACACAAGAUAACACCCCUACACAAUUAUCGCCGGAUAAUUGUACGAAUCCGGGUUCCCGAAAGUGUCUAUUUCGACACCGGAACCCACCGUCGCUCACCCAUCAUCACCGAACCCAC